CUACGGGGGGCACCAGUGGGGAAUAUUGGACAAUGGGGGAAACCCUGAUCCAGCAAUGCCGCGUGUGUGAAGAAGGCCUGCGGGUUGUAAAGCACUUUCGGUUGGGAGGACUGCUUCUAGCACUAAUAUUGUUGGAAGUUGACGUUACCUUCAGAAGAAGCACCGGCUAGACUCCGUGCCAGCAGCCGCGGUAAUACGGGGGGUGCAAGCGUUAAUCGGAAUUACUGGGCGUAAAGCGCGCGUAGGCGGCUAGAUCAGUCGGUUGUGAAAGCCCCGGGCUUAACCUGGGAACUGCAUCCGAUACUGUCUAGCUUGAGUACAGGAGAGGAGAGUGGAAUUCCACAUGUAGCGGUGAAAUGCGUAGAUAUGUGGAGGAACACCAAUGGCGAAGGCAGCUCUCUGGCCUGAUACUGACGCUGAGGUGCGAAAGCGUGGGGAGCAAACAGGAUUAGAUACCCCCGUAGUC
rnacentral:rRNA from 1 species